GAUGAACGCUGGCGGCGUGCCUAAUACAUGCAAGUCGAGCGAACAGACGAGGAGCUUGCUCCUCUGACGUUAGCGGCGGACGGGUGAGUAACACGUGGAUAACCUACCUAUAAGACUGGGAUAACUUCGGGAAACCGGAGCUAAUACCGGAUAAUAUAUUGAACCGCAUGGUUCAAUAGUGAAAGACGGUUUUGCUGUCACUUAUAGAUGGAUCCGCGCCGCAUUAGCUAGUUGGUAAGGUAACGGCUUACCAAGGCAACGAUGCGUAGCCGACCUGAGAGGGUGAUCGGCCACACUGGAACUGAGACACGGUCCAGACUCCUACGGGAGGCAGCAGUAGGGAAUCUUCCGCAAUGGGCGAAAGCUUGACGGAGCAACGCCGCGUGAGUGAUGAAGGCCUUCGGAUCGUAAAACUCUGUUAUUAGGGAAGAACAAAUGUGUAAGUAACUAUGCACGUCUUGACGGUACCUAAUCAGAAAGCCACGGCUAACUACGU
rnacentral:rRNA from 1 species